rnacentral:rRNA from 1 species
CGGGACGGGUGAGUAAUGUAUGGGGAACUGCCCGAUGGAGGGGGAUAACUACUGGAAACGGUAGCUAAUACCGCAUAACGUCGCAAGACCAAAGAGGGGGACCUUCGGGCCUCUUGCCAUCGGAUGUGCCCAGAUGGGAUUAGCUAGUAGGUGGGGUAAUGGCUCACCUAGGCGACGAUCCCUAGCUGGUCUGAGAGGAUGACCAGCCACACUGGAACUGAGACACGGUCCAG